rnacentral:rRNA from 1 species
UACAGAGGUCUCAAGCGUUGUUCGGAUUCAUUGGGCGUAAAGGGUGCGUAGGCGGAUUUGUCAGUCAGGGGUGAAAUCCCGGGGCUCAACCUCGGAACUGCCUUUGAUACAGCAAGUCUUGAGUUCGAGAGAGGUGGGUGGAAUUCCUAGUGUAGAGGUGAAAUUCGUAGAUAUUAGGAAGAACACCGGUGGCGAAGGCGGCCCACUGGCUCGAUACUGACGCUGAGGAGCGAAAGUGUGGGGAGCGAACAGG